rnacentral:lncRNA from 1 species
AUAGGUUGUUUUACAAAGUACUAUGACAUCCAUAGCUACAUCGAAAGAGUGAUCCAUCAUAUGAUCACUCUAAGAGAAGAUAUAUUAAUAGAUGCCUUGUGCCAAGUUAUGAGAAUGGACCUUUAAUGUUGCCUUUGCAAUACAAGAGCCAUAGAAACAAUUCAACAUGCCUUUUGGAACUGCCAUGCCAUCAAGUUAGAAUGGAACUUAUAUAACAACCUUUGCAACUCAAACUAGCUAUCCCCUCUCAACAGUUAGGACAAUGUGCUAUACAUCACCCUCCAUCCUACAACUUUGAUAAACCACUCAGCCCUCACAUACAUGGUAAGAAUUACCACAGCCACCUCCUAGAACAUUUUUAAGACGCUCAUAUUGUGGAAUGUUUCGUGAGCCAAAUGUAGCUUUGAUAGGAACCAGGCAUCCUACCACACUAGCCAGGUGCUCUACUAAUUCUGAAAAAUGACAGUACGAAUUGGCUUCAAAGCUUGCAGGGAGCUCCACCAUCAUGCUAGACCCCCAUUAGAACAGCACCAAAAAGUCAAACUAUUUUGCGCCACAUAGACCAAGUACAAUACCUUUGCCAGCCCAAAACCGCUCACAUACGCCCAGUUUCAGUACGAUUGCAACUGGUCCAGCUCUAGCCUCUUAUUCAGCGCAUUUAUAGGUUAACAGCGAUUGCUAGAACACUGGUGUGCGUUCAUAUUGUGGACGCUACUGCAAGUUUGAACACCAAAGAGAUGGCUGCUGCCUAAUCAGAAAUCCCACCAUCGUGAGCGGCUCCAAAACACUUCUUCCCCGCUCGAAGAAUACCCGGGCAUUCUUCAACCUCUCGUCAGAGGUAGCGAGAACAACUCAGAGGGUAUGUACUCAAUCAGGCUCAUCCUUGAUUCAGAACGAGAGCACAAAAUCCCAUCCAGAAAACUGGAGCACCAAAAACCAGUUCCUGAGCUGUCGAACCAUGUUCUGCAGAGCCUAAGGAAAGCAUUUGAUCAAUGCACCGAAAAGCACGAUUAUCGCGGGCAAAAGAAGACGAAAAAUAUUCUAGAAGGAUCUAGUGAAUCAAUAACGUUCGUCACAAUGAACAUCAGACAACUAACAGACUGAACAGAAACCUACUGUGACAAGUUGGGACUACUUCAACUCCACUCAGACACGAGUCAGUGUAGAGAUGGGAAAUGAAGGGUAUCGAAC